AAGAGGAUGAAAAACUGCUGCUGACUC
rnacentral:piRNA from 1 species